rnacentral:rRNA from 1 species
AGUGAACGCUGGCGGUAGGCCUAACACAUGCAAGUCGAACGGCAGCACAGUAGGAGCUUGCUCUUACGGGUGGCGAGUGGCGGACGGGUGAGGAAUACAUCGGAAUCUAUUUUUUCGUGGGGGAUAACGUAGGGAAACUUACGCUAAUACCGCAUACGACCUACGGGUGAAAGCAGGGGAUCUUCGGACCUUGCGCGAUUGAAUGAGCCGAUGUCGGAUUAGCUAGUUGGCGGGGUAAAGGCCCACCAAGGCGACGAUCCGUAGCUGGUCUGAGAGGAUGAUCAGCCACACUGGAACUGAGACACGGUCCAGACUCCUACGGGAGGCAGCAGUGGGGAAUAUUGGACAAUGGGCGCAAGCCUGAUCCAGCCAUACCGCGUGGGUGAAGAAGGCCUUCGGGUUGUAAAGCCCUUUUGUUGGGAAAGAAAAGCAGCAGGUUAAUACCCCGCUGUUCUGACGGUACCCAAAGAAUAAGCACCGGCUAACUUCGUG